rnacentral:tRNA from 1 species
ACCUGGCUGGCUCAGUCAGUAGAACAUGUGACUCUUAAUCUUGAGGUCCUGAGUUCAAGCCUCACGCUGGGUG